GACUUGAAGAUUUCGCGAGACUUGUUGCUUACCUUGCAAGAGAUCGUCUUUCUCUUUGGCACCCUGAAUAAUUUUGACUCACUUGGACAAAUAAUUCAGAGUAUUUACAGAUACCACUUGACAGGGGAUUUGCCAAUACUUAGGCAAACUUUGGUUUGGUGUAACUGGUGGGCUGUCGUGCAAAGCCAGGAGGCUAGCAGUAGCUUUACUAUAAGUUCCCUACCAAGGAGCAGUAACUCAUUAAGUCCUUCACAACUUUUUCAUUUUAGCUCCUGUUGAGUGGUAGGCAGCAUGGUCCUGUGGGGUUGAGACUAGAGUCAGCUAAGUUUGAUUGGGACAAGGAUUGUGAAAUCUGAGCCUGAGGCUCUCAGUGAAAGAGUCAGGCACAACACAGUAGAGAGAGGUCAAAGUCAGCCACGGGACAAAUGGAGAGGACUGCAAAUGACAAACUUAUUUUGGAGAGAUAUGUGGUGUGCAUUAGUAGGCAUGGCUGAGAGUUCCCAGAGGCUGAGGCCAUCCCUUUAAGGACUGAAACCAUAAUGUCAGCUGUUGUUGAUGUUCAUGUCCUACACACUGUUAAAUAUUGCUAAGCUUUGGGAGGAAAUGUUGGCCCCAUCAUAUGUCACAGUCAACCCGGGGCAGUCUCUGUUUAUGCUGAUGGUCCCAAGCUCAUUAUUAACAGCACCCCUUUCAUUCUCAAAAGUCUACUUGUUUGGAAAGUGCCUGGUAUGAUCACACCAGAUAAGGAAAGUGGAUGUUGCUGCUUUCUUUUUACAUAUCAGAGAUACCUCAAGCUUUGAGGUGCUCCUCUCCCAACUUUAAGGCUCUCUUAAAAUAUCUUUUUAUAUCUUUAAUAUGCUCACAUUUUUCUCCACCUUCUUGAACAUAUGGAAUGUAGUUAUAACUGUUUUGAUGUCCUUGUCUACUAACUCCUGCAUCUAUGUUAUUUCUGGGUCUGUUUAUGUUGAUCAGUUUCCCUCCCGCUCAUUGUCCAUUAUGUUCCCUUGCUACUUUGCAUGUCUGGUAAUUUUUGAGUGGAUGGCCAGAUGUAAUUUUUAUC
rnacentral:lncRNA from 1 species